CCUACGGGAGGCAGCAGUGAGGAAUUUUCCGCAAUGGGCGAAAGCCUGACGGAGCAAUACCGCGUGAGGGAUGAAGGAUUUUGGUCUGUAAACCUCUUUUCUCAAGAAAGAAGUUCUGACGGUACUUGAGGAAUAAGCAUCGGCUAGCUCCGUGCCAGCAGCCGCGGUAAUACGGGGGAUGCAAGCGUUAUCCGGAAUGAUUGGGCGUAAAGCGCCUGUAGGUUGUUUAUUAAGUCCGUUGUUAAAGCCUAGGGCUUAACCCUAGAAAAGCAAUGGAAACUAGUAGACUAGAGUAUGGCAGGGGUAGAGGGAAUUUCUAGUGUAGCGGUGAAAUGCGUAGAUAUUAGAAAGAACACCGGUGGCGAAAGCGCUCUACUGGACCAUUACUGACACUCAGAGGCGAAAGCUAGGGUAGCAAAAGGGAUUAGAUACCCCUGUAGUCCUAGCCGUAAACGAUGGAUACUAGAUGUUGUGCAUUAUGUACAGUAUCGUAGCUAACGCGUUAAGUAUCCCGCUGGGGAGUACGCUCGCAAGGGUGAAACUCAAAUGAAUUGACGG
rnacentral:rRNA from 1 species